rnacentral:miRNA from 1 species
CACACUCAGAUAAAGUAGGCACU